UACCUGGCGGCGGCCUACCAUGCGAGUCCAGCGGUAGAGAGAAGCUUGCUUCUCUUGAGAGCGGCGGACGGGUGAGUAAAGCCUAGGAAUCUGCCUGGUAGUGGGGGAUAACGUUCGGAAACGGACGCUAAUACCGCAUACGUCCUACGGGAGAAAGCAGGGGACCUUCGGGCCUUGCGCUAUCAGAUGAGCCUAGGUCGGAUUAGCUAGUUGGUGAGGUAAUGGCUCACCAAGGCGACGAUCCGUAACUGGUCUGAGAGGAUGAUCAGUCACACUGGAACUGAGACACGGUCCAGACUCCUACGGGAGGCAGCAGUGGGGAAUAUUGGACAAUGGGCGAAAGCCUGAUCCAGCCAUGCCGCGUGUGUGAAGAAGGUCUUCGGAUUGUAAAGCACUUUAAGUUGGGAGGAAGGGCAGUUAUCUAAUACGUGACUGUUUUGACGUUACCGACAGAAUAAGCACCGGCUAACUCUGUGCCAGCAGCCGCGGUAAU
rnacentral:rRNA from 1 species